GGGGAAAAAUUAAUAAUUUAUAAAUAAUAAAAAAAUUUUUAAUACUAGAAUGGGGGUUAUAGUAUUAUAAAUAGAAAAAAUUAUAAAUUUUAUAGUUAAAUAGUAUUGAAAAAGAAUUUUGAAAUAAAUGAAAAUGAAAUUUUUAUAAAGUAAAUUUAAUUUAUUGUAUCUUGUGUAUCAGAGUUUAUUAAAUAAUUUUAUUUAAAAAAAAUAAAUCUCGAAUUUAAAAGAGUUAAUUAAUUAUAAAAGUUAAUAUAAUAUAAUUAUUUUUAAUAAUUAAUUUGAAAUGAAAAGUUAAUCGUUUUUAAAUAUAUCUAGUUUCUUUAGAAAUAAAUUUAAUUUAAAAUUUAGUUUUAUUAGGAAUUUUUUUUUAAUUAUAAAUAAAUUAAAUUUAAUAUUUUAGGGGAUAAGCUUUAAAUUAAAAAUUUAUAUAUAUAUAUAUAAAUAAAUUAAAAUUUUUAAAAUUUAAAUUGUUUAAAAAUUAUAAUUUUUUAUAAAAAAUUUUAAUAAAAAUAAAAUUUAUGAAAAAAUUAAAAUUAUAUAAAGAAAAAAUUUUUAAUAGAAAAAAAUUAAAAAUAAUGAUAAAAUUAGUAUAAAAAAAAAUUAAUAGAAUAAAAAUUUUUAAAAUUAAAUUAAAGGAAUUCGGCAAAUAUAUAUAUUCACUUGUUUAUCAAAAACAUGUCUUUUUGAUAAUAAUUUAAAGUCUAAUCUGCCCACUGAUGAAUAAUUAAAGGGCUGCAGUAUAUUGACUGUACAAAGGUAGCAUAAUCAAUAGUCUUUUAAUUGAAGACUUGAAUGAACGAUUUGAUGAAAUAUAAACUGUCUCUUAUUUAAAUUUAGAAUUUAAUUUUUUAGUUAAAAAGCUAAAAUAAUUUUAAAAGACGAGAAGACCCUAUAGAGUUUUAUAUUUAAAUUAUUUAAUGUUUUAUAUAUAAGUUAUAGUAAAAAUUAAUUUAAAUAUUUUAUUGGGGUGAUAGAAAAAUUUAAAAAACUUUUUUUAUAUAAAAUCAUAAAUAAAUGAAAUAAUGAUCCAUAAUUAAUGAUUAAAAGAAAAAAUUACCUUAGGGAUAACAGCGUAAUUUUUUUUUUUAGUUCAAAUAAGAAAAAGAGAUUGCGACCUCGAUGUUGGAUUAAGAUAAAAUUUAAAUGCAAAAGUUUAAAAUUUUGAUCUGUUCGAUCAUUAAAAUCUUACAUGAUCUGAGUUCAAACCGGUGUGAGCCAGGUUGGUUUCUAUCUUUAGAAAAUUAGAAUAUUUUAGUACGAAAGGAUCAAAUAUUUAAAAUAAUUUUAAAAAAAAGAAUUUUAUUAAUAUAAUAUAA
rnacentral:rRNA from 1 species